UACGUAGGUGACCAGCGUUGUCCGGAUUUACUGGGCGUAAAGGGCGCGUAGGCGGUCAGCACAAGUCAAUUGUGAAAUCUCCGAGCUUAACUCGGAAAGGUCAACUGAAACUGUGCGACUAGAGUGCGGAAGGGGCAACUGGAAUUCUUGGUGUAGCGGUGAAAUGCGCAGAUAUCAGGAGGAACACCGGUGGCGAAGGCGGGUCUCUGGGCAACUACUGACGCUGAGGAGCGAAAGCGUGGGGAGCGAACAGG
rnacentral:rRNA from 1 species